rnacentral:rRNA from 1 species
AACGAACGCUGGCGGCAGGCUUAACACAUGCAAGUCGAGCGUCCCGUAAGGGGAGCGGCAGACGGGUGAGUAACGCGUGGGAAUCUACCCAUCUCUGCGGAAUAGCUCCGGGAAACUGGAAUUAAUACCGCAUACGUCCUUCGGGAGAAAGAUUUUAUCGGAGAUGGAUGAGCCCGCGUUGGAUUAGCUAGUUGGUGGGGUAAAGGCCUACCAAGGCGACGAUCCAUAGCUGGUCUGAGAGGAUGAUCAGCCACACUGGGACUGAGACACGGCCCAGACUCCUACGGGAGGCAGCAGUGGGGAAUAUUGGACAAUGGGCGCAAGCCUGAUCCAGCCAUGCCGCGUGAGUGAUGAAGGCCCUAGGGUUGUAAAGCUCUUUCACCGGUGAAGAUAAUGACGGUAACCGGAGAAGAAGCCCCGGCUAACUUCGUGCCAGCCGCCGCCGUAACAC